UCUCCGUAGGUGAACCUGCGGAGGGAUCAUUACUGAGUGAGGGUUUAACCGCCCGACCUCCAACCCUUUGUGAAUCGUACUCGUUGCUUCGGGGGCGACCCUGCCGUUCGGCGCGGCGCCCCCGGCGGCUCAUCAAACACUGCAUCUUUGCGUCGGAGUUUAAACAAAUUAAACAAAACUUUCAACAACGGAUCUCUUGGUUCGGGCAUCGAUGAAGAACGCAGC
rnacentral:misc_RNA from 1 species